GACACCCCAACCCCUUUUAUACUCUAUCGCAGCACGUUCUUUUUAUCUCUCUUUCGGAUUCCUCCCAGGCUAGCUUCUUUGAUUAAUCUUCAUCUUACUCCGAUCGUGUUUUCACAUUUCAUGUUGAAGUUCCCUGUGUCACCAGCUAAUAGCUACGCAUGUAGGUGCUUGGUUCAGGAAUUACUGGUGAAAGAUCCAAAGAAGAGGUUAGGGACAAAGAGAGGAGCAAUGGAGAUAAAGCAGCAUUCCUUCAAAAUGAACUGGGCAUUGAUAAAGCGUAGUAUUCCUCCUGAAGUACCGGGACAAAUGGAGACCGAACCGCCUCCAAAGCAUGGACCGAUGGAUCCAGUUGGGUACGGUAGUAAUAGCAAGAGAAUGAUGGGACCACCACUAGUAUCAGCAGAUACAAAAUCUGGUGGUAAAUUUCUAGACUGAGUUUUUCUGAAGCUUUCUUUUUCCUCCCAAGAGUUUGUAUUUGAAUUAGCAUUUUAGUCUCCUUGUCUCCCUCCCUAUGUAUAUUGUUGUAGCAAUGUCUCAAGAGGCUUGAAUAGACCAGGAGUGGAGGAGGUUUAGUUCUCAUAGUAACUUAGGAGGUCCUUUUUGUUUGUAUCUGAGAUUAAGGACAUGGAAAGCUCUUUUGGUAGGUAGGUCACUGCCAUGCAUGUUUUGGUGGUCCCAAAUGCAAAAGAUAUUAUGAUCUAAAACGAAUCAUUCAUCGCAUACAUGUUAUGCUAUUUAAAUCCCAAAACUAUAGUUUAUUUAGCAGUUUGCCAGCAAAAUGUAUAUUAUAUCUUAUAUCAUCUCGGUGUUUUCGUUAAAAGAGUCGGCAUGAUCUUUGCUCAAUAUUAGAUUACAAAUUGAGCCAUGAUUAACCACGACUGUUUUUGUUACCUCUAAUCUACCAAGAAGAAACCACCAUGUGCUUCAGGCAAAGAAGAGAAAUGAUGUUUCACAGGGAAUCCGAUGACAAAACAGACCCACCUUUGAUACAUUUACAACACAGACCUGUUUCAUCCACACACAUAAAGAUACAGUUCGAGGCAAGCCCUAGAUUAUUAUUUAACAGUAUAUAAUAUCACACGACUAAUGAACAAGCAAGAGAACGUUGUUUAUUCUUGUCCUGGAAUUUCUUUAGAACAUGUAGCUGAGAAUUACAUGAACAAACAAAAACAUCCACAUUUCAUACAUAGAAAUCAAAACGCCAAGUCCUAGAAC